ACAUAUGUAGUUUAAUCAUCUUUAUGUACACAAUGAGAUAAUCAAUGGAUUGUGUUAAGCCACAGGGUAUUUGGAGACAUACUUUAUAUGAACUAGGUGAGUACCCGCGUGGGUUGUUUGAAAUUUGUUUAAAAAUAAUUAUGUUUAACUAUUUUUAUUGCUAAUUUAUGUUAUUUCGUGUAUAUUAUUAUGUAGUUAAUAAAGUUAUAUUCAUUUUAUGUAAUUAUAUUUGUAUAGUUAGAUUCACUUUUGAUUCAAAUAUCAAUUAUAUUUUUUUCAUGUAUAAAUCUUUUUAUCUAUAUACCCAAGUUUCUAAUUUUUUAACUAUUAUUAAAUACUUACAUCAACAAUAUGAUACAAUGCUACUUAUUUGGUUUGAAAGUUGCCUAACUUGAUUCUAAGCAAACAAUUUCUUGUUCCAUAUAUUCUCUCCUAAUCUAAUAUUUCAAUCACAUCAUGAUAGGCUCAUGGCUAAAUAUUGGAUUGACAUAAUUUGAAUAACAAAUAUAUAAACUACUCAUUUGCUUUAAAAGUUUUCACAUGAAAGAGAAAAAAAAACAUAAAUUAAAUAGUCUUUUGAGUCAACACUUUUAGGUUUCUCUCUGUGCAUUUGCAUAUAUCCAUAUUAGAGAAAGCGUCGUAUAAUAAACUUUUUGGUAUAUCUAACGUCUCAAAAGAUCAGUACUUAAAAAAUAUGCAUGUCACUAUUAUUGUUACCAAUUUAUCAUCAACACACAAAAAGACCAUAUCAUGUAAACAAUUAAUGUAAUAAAAAGAAAAAACUAAGUUAAAAUUACUAAAUUAAGAAAGGUUAAGUAGCAAACAGUUAAGUUGUAAUACACGAAAAUUUUUAGUCAUUAUCAAGUAAUGACUAUUAUAAAAUAGCAAAAUAAGAAAAGUAAAAUGAAAGUAGUGUUUAAUACAUUAACAUGAUUUUUUGUAUUUUUUUUUUU
rnacentral:sRNA from 1 species